UCGGGCUCUCUUUCUCAUUCCUCCCAGUACCGAAUCUUCAUGGUUGCCGAUUGCUCUUCCUCGCCAAUGCCCAUUGCCUAGGUCCUGGAUGCCACUGCCCACCACACCCUUCAUGGCCGCGACGGAUUCGUCAGAGCGGUACAGGUGGCCGUGCCGUGGUUUUCUGGCUGCAGCUGCACACAGCCUUACCGGCUGGUCCGCCGUGUGGCUGCGCGACGGCCGACAACACCGCCGCCUGCUCCUUAUCUGGAAGCAUGCCCUCAGCUGAAGCUGCUCUGCUAUCACGGGAUAAGGUUGAUCCCGUCGGCAACCCUGAUAGCGGGGACCGUGGCGGCGGUCUCUAGCCGAAGGCUGCAGCGGGAGGGUGACAGUAUUACGACCGAAAAUCCUUCUUCUGCAUCAAAAAGUCCCCAUCGAUGGCUCACCAGCAUGGCCCUUCCUUCUCUCUCCCCAAUCCCCAUCGAUAGCUCCACCUGUGUCGCCCUCCCUCGUGCCGAUCUAUGGCACCGGCCUACUCCUGGACGGCCGACCGCCGCCUGCUCCGACCUCUUCCCCACCCAGGCUCUCCCUAACGCGACCUUAGCCUGCCUGCUGUGUUGGCAGGCCAGGGGGCAAGUAAGAGCGCCGCGGUGACGGUGUGGGGAAGAGCGGCGGGAUGCCUGAGUUCCUCUUCGCAGUUGCCAAACCUGCACCGUGUAUUAUUGAUUUUGUUUGAUAUAUCAGUGCUGUCUAAUUUUGCUUUGUUCACACCUUCGUUUUUCCUCAUUUUAUGGUUGAUCUCUCAGUCCCAGUGAAUAUCUGUGUUGUUAUGCAAAUAUUCUCUCGAUUUCUUUCAUUGGAAAUAAGGGAUUCCCUAAAUAAUAUAGAUUUUUAACGGCCGCUUCAUUCUUGAACUGCAGGCUGCGGUGGUUAAGGAGCUUGAUGUCGGCUCUGAUCCUACUUCGCAUGAGAGAUAGCUGUUGCCGGUGCAGGUCGGGAUAGAAGAGAAGGCCCGGUUCAGAUUAGCACUCCACCUGCUUCUGGGAGUUGGGAUGCUGAACAUGGAAGACCAACAGGGAAGGCAGUACAGUGCAGCCGUGGCCAUGUACCUCUCUUGGCAAUAUUCUAGAUAAGUUUCUUUUUGUUCAGGUGCUUUUGAUUAAUUUGCACUAUGGGUAGGUAUCUAUUCUUACAUGUCAAAUCAACGCUCAUGUCCAUUCUUUUCCUUCCUGCAUUUUUUUGUGUGAUUUACUAACUGUCAAUCAGUUUUGGCUCUAAUGCUCACUCACUUCAUCUAUUUGUGAUUUUCCUCAUGUUUUAUUUCUCCACUCUCAUGUGAAUCAGUUGGAGCUUGAGUUCGAGUCUUCUUUGUACAUGUAUUACCACCAGAAUAAUGAACCAAUAAUUUGUUCUUCUAAUUGCUCUAUAUAUAGAGCCACUUUUGAGAAUGCGAUCUGGUCUUCCUUAGGCCUCUGUAAUCUCACGCACGGCCCUGUUAGGACAUCACCACAGGUCCACGGCCAGUGAUUUGAUAAUACCUCUAAAGAAUAUGAUCCUUAUAUAAUUAUGCCAUUGUCAAUCAGAUUUUAUGUGCAAAUUAAUAUGCACUGGAAUAAUCAAUCAGGAAAGACUCAGUUACUACUGGUGGUCUUUAUCUCAUAUAUGUAUUUUCUUGCUGUGUGCUUAGUAAAACUAUUGUUAUUUCAGUUAUUGUUGCUGCUGAUAUAAUGUCAUACCAAAUGCAGGUUUGCAAUGAAAAGAUGAUGAACUUGAAUGUCUUAGAGAGAUGAACUAUAAAAAGGAAGACGGAAAAACAAAUGGGAAGUAUUAAACAAAAACAGAUGGAGACUUACAAUUAGUUUGAUAAUUAAGCACUCAAGAUCUUUGUCAUCAUCUUCAGGCUGGUCAAGUACCCACGGAGAUCAGUCCGCGCAAAGAAUUAAGAGUAACUAGAACAAGUGCCCUACAUCCUCGAAGAAAAUAUCAGCCUCGACGCACCAAGGACCAAACAAGAAGAGGAAUCGAGGAGGUGCACUUCAGGCAUGCCACCGACGAGUCGAUCAUAUCAGUCCGCGAUGCCGCCUGGGCUAACUACAUGCCCAACGAUGCCUUCGUGCCAGCUUCCGUUGUGCCUUCAUCAAAUAAAGGGACGCCCGCAUUGAUCCUCCACUCCAACGAAGGCAAACAAAUCAUGAUCCUUGACUCUUCCCAAGGGGAUGAUGACCACGAGCAUUGAUAUCUCAAGUGCCAAAAAGCACCGAAAGAUGGUUAUCUUAGUAUCAUAUUUAUUUUCUUCUUUGAGCCUUCAUCAUCACAUGUAUGUCAUGUUUUGGAUUUAGUAAAUCUGGAAUUUUGUAUGCUUUAUCUAUGUCUUGCAACCUGGUGAACUUGAUAGGAUUUGAAAAUAUAUUUGUAUUGUAAACUAGCUCUUUCUCUCAUGUUAUGGAAGAACUUAUCAAGU